rnacentral:misc_RNA from 1 species
UAAUUUAUUAAGGACAGCAAAAGAAAAUAGCGUUUCAAAUGAAAAUAAGCCAUUCUUUCUAAUAUUAUCAUUCGUCACUUGGCUCGAGUAAGAGGGAUAAAGAAAAUGAACAAAUGGGUUUCACGUGAUUUAAACGGCAUGCAAAAAUCAUGACGAAUGGAUACAGCCACUUGAAAGAAAUAAAUAGGAUGGAUUAGAAUAUGAAAUUUUGUCACAUCUCGCCAUUUCUCUUCGCCUGCCACCACGGAUUCUCAUUUUUUCUCAGAUUUUGAACGAUUCUGACUUCUAGG